rnacentral:rRNA from 1 species
AGUGAACGCUGGCGGUAGGCCUAACACAUGCAAGUCGAACGGCAGCACAGUAAGAGCUUGCUCUUACGGGUGGCGAGUGGCGGACGGGUGAGGAAUACAUCGGAAUCUACUUUUUCGUGGGGGAUAACGUAGGGAAACUUACGCUAAUACCGCAUACGACCUACGGGUGAAAGCAGGGGAUCUUCGGACCUUUCGCGAUUGAAUGAGCCGAUGUCGGAUUAGCUAGUUGGCGGGGUAAAGGCCCACCAAGGCGACGAUCCGUAGCUGGUCUGAGAGGAUGAUCAGCCACACUGGAACUGAGACACGGUCCAGACUCCUACGGGAGGCAGCAGUGGGGAAUAUUGGACAAUGGGCGCAAGCCUGAUCCAGCCAUACCGCGUGGGUGAAGAAGGCCUUCGGGUUGUAAAGCCCUUUUGUUGGGAAAGAAAAGCAGCAGGCUAAUACCCCGCUGUUCUGACGGUACCCAAAGAAUAAGCACCGGCUAACUUCGUG